UGAAACUGGGGCAAGACCAUAAAGACUAAAACAAAGAAAAACACUUAUCUCAAUCAACCACAAACAGAAACAUUGGCUAACAUUCACCACAGAAUAAACAAAAUUGCUAGAUAGACAUGAAUUUAAUCAAUACAUAUUGUAGAAAUCUAUUGUUCAGUAAAUCUUUAGCUCACUAUCAAUUUUGAAGCAUUAGUUUACCUCAUAUCAGAAUCAAACCCAAAAUUACCGAAUUCCUAUAAAACCUAAAGGCUAAAGUUCAACAAAGUCAUGAGCAUAUUGGACCUGUCAUCCUUUAUAAAGGAGAAUUUUCUCAGACUCAUUAUUCCUCAAAAAUUCAAAUACAAAAACA
rnacentral:lncRNA from 1 species